GGGGCAUUGCCAACGAGGCUGGUUUUGGCUGUACAGGUGAGGAUACAAUAAACAACUAAGAGGGACAGUUUCAGGAUCAAGUACUGCCAUCGGGAGAGCAGUGACAAGUAGAGGAAAGCAACCCAGUCUUUAGUAAAGAAAGGCUUUGUUCCUGCAUCCCUUUCAACCAUCUCACUACUCGAAAGAGGAGGGCAACACGCAUUAAAAGUGUAUACUGUAUCUUUGCAGGUCUCCAUUGAAGUGUUACAGGUUUGCCUGCGAGAGACUUCUGGACAUUAUAGUUCUUUUAAAUACGAUUGGUUUCUAAAUGUCAUGUGUGGCUCUCCCUCAGGAACAUGGAUGUUAGGCCACACGUGUGAUAGGCACAGCUACAAAAUGAGCAUCAUGGAUGUUCAUCCUUGAAGUUGAAUUUUCAGAGCUGAAGGAGUAGUUUGAAACCGUAAGUGUGGUUUUCCAGCCUGGUUCUGAGAAUUACAGAGCCUAAACCAUGGCUUACACGUCAUUUGCUUUGGAAAAUAAAAACCUGCUUUUGAAAGUAUCUGAAUAUGCACAAAUGAGGUAAGGAAAUGUGGUAGUUGCCAGUCAGUGAGGGCUUCCUCUUAUUUACCAUGUUUAUUAGCUUGAGCCUGGUGCAAGGCACAGCAGCUGUUUGAAUAAGACAUGCACAAGCCAGCUGGUAGCAUUGUGUAUGUUGGGCUAGUGAGCAGCAGAUUUCUCUUUUUUUUACUUAGGUGAUGUUCUUCUUUCAUUUUUCAGUGUUUAUAUUGGAGUAAGGCUUCGAGGCCCCAGAAUUGAAGAAAUGAACUGCUGUGCAGACACCUAUGAAGAAAUUUUCACAACUCCUAAUGCUCCUUCCUGUUCCACUGCUACAAACUGUGCCACAGCACAGCAAAGAAUUGAAUGGUUUCUGAAGCAAGUGUGUGAGGAAACCUGGCUUUUCAGCCUCACAGGGUAGUUGUUGGGAGGAAGGGAGAGAGAGGGAAAGAAAGAGAGGAGACUGGGAUUUCUGAGACUGCAUCAGUACUUUACUUUAAGGAGUUGUUGAAUAAAGCAUCUUACAUAUAUCUUGCUCAUCCUCUGGCACUCCUAAGAAAGCAGCAGCUGCCACGGCAGUUUGUGAAGUGGCUGAUGCUGCAGGUUAAGCAGUACAUACUUACUGGAUCCUUCCCCUCAGAUGAAGUAGUACUUGGACAGGCUUGUGCCGAGCUGCUCCAUUUUGCCCAGGAUGAGGAAUUUUUUUUAAUACACCAGAGCACAACUCUGGAUAGGACGCCUGUGAAGUCAGGCACAUUCAGAGUAAGACAGUGCGUAGGCUUUCUGGAAACACAGUUUGAUCACCCUAAAUCCACUAAAGUCCUCAUUUAGGCAUACAUGUCCUUUUCUGUCCUUGCUAUGAAACAAGUCCAACUGAUGAUCCUGUAAAGCCUCUUAUCCAGCUGCAUGUGGAGCCUGGUCUAACAUAGCCCAGAAGGUAUGGCCUUUUGCACCAAGGAGAUAAUCCAGUUUCCAACUUCUGACUUUCCCAGAUUGGCACAUUGCUUUGUGCAACCGGGACAGAAGAUACAGAUUUGCAUAGCAUGGGUCCAAAUUUUCUGGAGAUAGAAACUUCGCAUGGAAACUUGGAAACUGAUUGGAAUAUGAAAUGGUAGCCCAAAACUAAAAUGUUCCAUGUUAUAAUCAGACUCCUAAAUCUCCCAAGCUUCCACACUGAUCCUAUAGUAUUACACUAAGCUUUCAUUUCACAUCCUUCUGGAAAACUCAGUAUAACUUCCUCUGUCAUUUUAAAGAAAAUAUAUUACAAGAUCUGCCUAGUUCUUGCCACUACCAUAAAGGGACGAUGCAGGCUGUAACGCCUUCAUUUAUUGCCAUUUUCUUUUUGGCUGAAGGG